GAGUUUGAUCAUGGCUCAGAUUGAACGCUGGCGGCAUGCCUUACACAUGCAAGUCGAACGGCAGCAUGAUCUAGCUUGCUAGAUUGAUGGCGAGUGGCGAACGGGUGAGUAAUACAUCGGAACGUGCCCUGUAGUGGGGGAUAACUAGUCGAAAGAUUAGCUAAUACCGCAUACGACCUGAGGGUGAAAGUGGGGGACCGCAAGGCCUCAUGCUAUAGGAGCGGCCGAUGUCUGAUUAGCUAGUUGGUGGGGUAAAGGCCCACCAAGGCGACGAUCAGUAGCUGGUCUGAGAGGACGAUCAGCCACACUGGGACUGAGACACGGCCCAGACUCCUACGGGAGGCAGCAGUGGGGAAUUUUGGACAAUGGGGGCAACCCUGAUCCAGCAAUGCCGCGUGUGUGAAGAAGGCCUUCGGGUUGUAAAGCACUUUUGUCCGGAAAGAAAUCGCACUUACUAAUAUUAGGUGUGGAUGACGGUACCGGAAGAAUAAGGACCGGCUAACUACGCGCCAGCAGCCGCGGUAAUACGUAGGGUCCAAGCGUUAAUCGGAAUUACUGGGCGUAAAGCGUGCGCAGGCGGUUGUGCAAGACCGAUGUGAAAUCCCCGGGCUUAACCUGGGAAUUGCAUUGGUGACUGCACGGCUAGAGUGUGUCAGAGGGGGGUAGAAUUCCACGUGUAGCAGUGAAAUGCGUAGAGAUGUGGAGGAAUACCGAUGGCGAAGGCAGCCCCCUGGGAUAACACUGACGCUCAUGCACGAAAGCGUGGGGAGCAAACAGGAUUAGAUACCCUGGUAGUCCACGCCCUAAACGAUGUCAACUAGUUGUUGGGGAUUCAUUUCCUUAGUAACGUAGCUAACGCGUGAAGUUGACCGCCUGGGGAGUACGGUCGCAAGAUUAAAACUCAAAGGAAUUGACGGGGACCCGCACAAGCGGUGGAUGAUGUGGAUUAAUUCGAUGCAACGCGAAAAACCUUACCUACCCUUGACAUGCCACUAACGAAGCAGAGAUGCAUUAGGUGCUCGAAAGAGAAAGUGGACACAGGUGCUGCAUGGCUGUCGUCAGCUCGUGUCGUGAGGUGUUGGGUUAAGUCCCGCAACGAGCGCAACCCUUGUCUCUAGUUGCUACGAAAGGGCACUCUAGAGAGACUGCCGGUGACAAACCGGAGGAAGGUGGGGAUGACGUCAAGUCCUCAUGGCCCUUAUGGGUAGGGCUUCACACGUCAUACAAUGGUGCAUACAGAGGGUUGCCAAGCCGCGAGGUGGAGCUAAUCCCAGAAAAUGCAUCGUAGUCCGGAUCGUAGUCUGCAACUCGACUACGUGAAGCUGGAAUCGCUAGUAAUCGCGGAUCAGCAUGCCGCGGUGAAUACGU
rnacentral:rRNA from 1 species